UACAGAGGUCUCAAGCGUUGUUCGGAUUCAUUGGGCGUAAAGGGUGCGUAGGUGGCGCGCUAAGUCAGGUGUGAAAUUUCAGAGCUUAACUCCGAAACUGCAUUUGAUACUGGUGUGCUUGAGGACUGGAGAGGAGACUGGAAUUCAUGGUGUAGCAGUGAAAUGCGUAGAGAUCAUGAGGAAGACCAGUGGCGAAGGCGGGUCUCUGGACAGUUCCUGACACUGAGGCACGAAGGCCAGGGGAGCAAACGGG
rnacentral:rRNA from 1 species